rnacentral:lncRNA from 1 species
AUCAGACAGUUCAUUCAAAAAAUACACAAUGGCAUCAGUUCAUUCAAUUAACAUACGAUCUACAAAAGAAAAGCGCAUAAUUAAAAUAUGAACUCUACAUAUAUAUAUAAGGCAUGAACUGUCAUACUGAAGAUUAAUCUUCCUAUACACAAAUACACUACUCGUUAGAUGGUCUCCACCCUUGUCGAUAACUUUUCUCGUUCACGCACGACUUUAAAUACUAACGGAACUUCUUACUCUAUUGUUAUUACAAUUAGC